AGGAGAAUUACCAAUCCAAAAUAGUAAGAAGAAUUUUAUAUCUAUUUGAUAUCAUAAAGGGGAAGUGGAAAUGAUGAAAGUGAAAUGUAUAUUAUUUACAGAAUUACACUGCACUCUACAAAUUCUACUUAUGGCACAAAAUAGUCUAUGAAUGUGUAAAGAAUAAAGGUCAAAACCCUUUACCGUUCUCACUUUUACCUGUUGUCCUAUUCAAUUAAACGAAAGUAUCAGUUGCAACACUUUUUGGGUGUGCAUAUCUGCAUAGUUAUAUGUAUGUGGCUGAACUUGAGAAUGGAAUAGAAUUUUCUAGGUAGGGUUAGUGGAACUCAAUUUCCAACCAUACGUUUAACUAUGCAGAUCUGUGAAUCAAAAUUGAAGAAUUAGUAUCACAUAAUCUGAUAGAUAUAGGAGGUUCGGGUUAAUUUUUUUGCUAUUAAACUAGAUCACCCCCAUCUCAAAGAUAGAUUAAUUGUUUAAGGAACUAUUAUUCCGACAGCAGAUUUUGCUGCCAGUGUCAUGGGGAAUCUUAGCAUUACCUGCAUUAAAACUCAAGCGGUGAAGGAGAUAACCUAAUACACUAUUGGAAGGAGAAUAAGAAUAAUGUCACUGUUUAAAUGUUUGAAAUCUUGGUCCUCUUUUAUAUAGUUUUUUAUUCCUUUGAUAAAAAAUAGUAGUACCAAACCAAACUAUAACACUAUUCAGCAGUACAAAUUAUUAGAGUCUUACUAAUAGACUGCCUACUAAUUAUCUGGCUUUAAUACAUUAACAUUGUGAUUCAAUACAUAAACAAAUAUUCCACAUGCAUCUUAGAAAUGAGAACAGUUUAAUGUACACAAAAAUGUAGAUCAUGAAGAUCGGGUCGGGUCAUGAGGGAAGUUGAUGAAAUUGAUUCAGGUACAGUUUCACGUCUCUUAAGAAAAUGAUUGUCAUAAUGAUUCAUGAUACUACUAGAGUAGAGUGAGUGACUUUUUACUUACGUGAUUAGGUCUAAACCAUUAAACAAAAGCUAUUCUUUCUAAUUGCUAUACAGGGCAACAUCAUGAAGCCAUUUUAUUCUUCUUGGUGCAGCAUUAUUAUUAUUGUUGUAUGGUAGCACCAAAAUCAAGGAACGGUUACGUCAAAUUUGAC
rnacentral:lncRNA from 1 species